GCGCUGGUUUAGCUCAGUGGUUACUUCAAUCGAAAUCCUGUUUCAUGGUCCGCGGGCCAGAAGUACCAACCACGGGCGCUGUCCAGCGCUUUU
ensembl:vault_RNA Vault Vault RNA